UAUCACUAAGCGGAGGAAAAGAAACUAACCAGGAUUCCCCUAGUAACGGCGAGUGAAGAGGGAAGAGCCCAGCACCGAAGCCUGCGGUAGCUUUACUGUUAGGCAAUGUGGUGUUUGGGUCGGCUUGCAGGAUUGCCACUCCAUCCGAAGUCCAGCAUUGAGUAUGGCACACUGGAUUUGGCCCAGAGAGGGUGAAAGGCCCGUACGGGUGGAGGUCUCAGACAAGUUAGGCAGUUCUCUAGGCCGGCCUUAGAGUCGGGUUGUUUGGGAAUGCAGCCCAAAGCGGGUGGUAAACUCCAUCCAAGGCUAAAUACAAGCACGAGUCCGAUAGCAAACAAGUACCGUGAGGGAAAGUUGAAAAGUACUUUGAAGAGAGAGUAAACAGUACGUGAAACCGCGUGCAGGUAAACGGGUGGCGUCAAGCUGUACGCCCAGAGGAUUCAGCCGGUUAGUGUGUAGUUAUGCGCCUGCGCAUCUUGGCCAGAGUAAAGUUGACUAGUCCACUGGAAGACGGUGGGCCCCAUCGCAAGGUGGGGAUUUGCGUACCGGGCGGAAGCCGGAGCAAGCUAGUUGUCUGUUGGGCUCUGCUAGCCGGUGCACUUUCUCUGUGGUGGACACCACGACCGAUGGAACUGUCAGUCUGCUGUGGUCAAGUCGUUUGUGGUUGGUCCUCGUGGCCUACUGCAUUCGAUCACGGGCAAAUCAGGCAAACGGCGUAGGUGAACCCUCCGGGGGGCAUCUGCGUGUUAUCGGUGGCCGGUUGCUUCACGGGCUUGCCGGUCCUGCAAGUUGACGCAGGUAACUGGUAUAGGUCUGGUGGAUCAUGGUGGUAAGAAUAACUGUGCAGGGCAUCGUGACAAUAAUCCCACAUAUGCAGGGUGGCAUGCCUGUCAACGCCGCCGGAAAGUGGGGUGCGCCACGCCAGCCUGCUUGGGUUGGGUCGGACCGUCGAGUCACUCACGAAAAGUGGGUCCGGCGGGGGCCUUGGCUCAGGUUGGUGCCGUAAGGGGGUACCUUCACCGGGGGGGCGCAAGUCUCUUCGGGGUGGGCAUCUUAGGCGUGGUGUGCUCCAGUGUCACCUUGUGUGGGUUUUCAGUAAGUGGUGUAGUGGUAGACGAGCUACCCGACCCGUCUUGAAACACGGACCAAGGAGUUUAACAUGUGUGCAAGUCACUGGGUCCUACGAAACCCAAAGGCGCAAUGAAAGUAAAGCUUCGGAUCAUUCGUGGUCUGGAGUGAGGUGAGAUCCUGUCGUUGUUCACGCCGGCCUCCAAUGGAAGCAGGCAUUUUGCGCGGCAGGCGCAUCACCGGCCCGUCCCAUGAUGUGGUCAUUGGAAAAGGCUGCGGUUGGCUUCGGCCGGCUGUAGUACUUCUAGUGCGUCAUCGGGGCGGAGCAUGAGCAUACAUGUUGAGACCCGAAAGAUGGUGAACUAUGCUUGCGUAGGUUGAAGCCAGAGGAAACUCUGGUGGAGGACCGCAGCGAUUCUGACGUGCAAAUCGAUCGUCAAACGUGAGUAUAGGGGCGAAAGA
rnacentral:rRNA from 2 species